AAGUAGAUAGUGAAAGCGUUCGGCUCAACCGAAUAUCCAUUACCUAAACUGGCAAACUCGAGAAUGGUAGAGGUAACUGGAAUUUCUUGUGUAGGAGUGAAAUCCGUAGAUAUAAGAAGGAACACCAAUGGCGUAGGCAGGUUACUGGACCAUUUCUGACACUGAGGCACGAAAGCGUGGGGAGCGAACCGGAUUAGAUACCCGGGUAGUCCACGCCGUAAACUAUGGAUACUA
rnacentral:rRNA from 1 species